UCAUUAAAGCGCCGCCGACGCCGGCCCCGGCCGCCCGUGGGACUUGAGACAUAGUUCCCCCGGACGGCGUCCAGGAGGCCGCCGGCAGUAGCCCAUUCUUGUCUACCUCUACCAGGUUGCCUCGGCGGGCCGCCAUUCUCUAGGGACCUCUUAACUGAAGUUCUUAGGGGGGCGGCAACCCCGUUGUCCGCGCCCGCCGGUGGAUACAUUUCAAAAAUCUAUCUUAGUUAAAAGGUCGUCUAAGAGCGUAAAGCGAAUCAGUUAAAACUUUCAACAACGGAUCUCUUGGUUCCGGCAUCGAUGAAGAACGCAGCGAAAUGCGAUAAGUAAUGUGAAUUGCAGAAUUCCGUGAAUCAUCGAAUCUUUGAACGCACAUUGCGCCCUCUGGUAUUCCGGGGGGCAUGCCUGUUCGAGCGUCAUUGCAACCCCUCAAGCCCGGCUUGUGUGAUGGACGACCGUCCCCCAGACCUCUGGGGGACGCGCCCGAAAUGCAGUGGCCAGGCCGCGAAUCCGGUGCCUGAGCGAAUGGGACAUCUCCAACGCUCCAGGGCCCGGCCGGCACCUGGCCUCGCCAGAUGUACAUACAUCUCUCUUCUAGGUUGACCUCGGAUCAGGUAGGGAUACCCGCUGAACUUAAGCAUAUCA
rnacentral:misc_RNA from 1 species